UUUUCCUUUCUCAGUAAGUCAGUUUGCUCUGGCCUUCUCUCUUCCUCUCUUCUACUUUCUGUUUUUCUGCACUCUUCUCCCUCUUUUCUCUGCACCAUUCCUUCCCUUCUUCCUCCAUCUGCCCUUCCCUCUUCUGCUGUUCCGUCUGUUCUCCUCGCCCUCUCUUUCUUUCCCUUGCCAUUUUUAGAUCAGCUCUCCUUACGCGUAUCCUCUCUUCUGUUUUGCCCUCUUUCUUCCCCCCCUCUCAUUCAUCACUCUUCUGUUCUUCCCCCUUACAAGCUCCUCUCUUCCCUUUUUUCUUUGUUCUGCUCGAUCUUUUCUCUCCUCUCCUUCUCUGCUCUCCUCUUUAUUGUCCCUGCUCCUCUCUCUGUCCUCCACUUUUCCCUUCUUUCUUCUCAUUUAUUCACCUUUAUAUUCCCAGGGAGGACUGCUCAGGAGACUACAGGAACGUUCUGCUGAAGCUCUGUGGCAGUGAGGAUUGAAGGAUUCCUGGUGUACGUCCCGCGUUAUGGGAAGGAGGGGAUCAUAAGGAUUUCUCUCAGGUGUUUGUAACUGUUGGUGAAUAACGCUCUGAAGGCAUCACAGACUGCCUGCUUGUCUCUGCAGUGCUCGGGGCUUUUCUGAGCUGCAGGCUCGCUGUCGCCCUGUGGCAUAGCCUUGCAUCUGGUGACGGACUGAAGCUGGAGAAUCCUGGCAGCAGAGGACGCUCCUGCCCCACAGAAGGGCUCACAGCUCCACCGCAGCUCCACCGACCUCAGUGCUGGUGAGGAGGCUGAGAUGCCUCCAAGUGAUGAAUGCAGUGCACCCAACCUUACACCUCGUGUGGUUCACUGUGCGAGGCGACCAGGAAGAAAGGUGGGCACAGGAUAUUUUACAGGUUCUGACUCAGGUUCAGAGAUUUUAAGUUUACCGUCUGGAAUUAAAGCCUUCUUCAACUGCCUGUUCUGCCACCUGAUCCGCCAUCUUAUCUCCAGUUUCCUGUACAGUGCUACCUUUCUGGUGUCCUUUACAGAGUAUAAUAGCCAUGCUCUUUGGUAGAUGUACAUCAUACUGAAUGUUUUCCUUGUGUGUGAGCAAUCCUUGCUCUUUCCAGAGGGCACUAUGAGCGUGUUCCACCCCAAAAGCAUGUUUAGCAUCUGACCAUGUAUUUAAGGCUCUUGUCAAGGCAGUUAUUGCAGCCUUCUGAGCCAAGUCCCCACAGGCAAUGGUUGUUCGAUUACCUGGUCAGUAGCAGUUACUGCAUAUCCUGCCUUACGGUUGCCUCGUCUCACAACACUGCUUCUGUCGGAUGAACCCAGGAAUCCUCAGCACUGUCCAAUGGUUCCUCCUGUAGGUCUGGCCGACUGGCACAGUCAGUCUCCAAGCAGUCGCACGCUGCCGGUUUGGAGGUAGUUCUGUGUUGGUGUUAGAAUCAUGGAAUGGCCUGGGUUGAGAAGGACCUCAAAGAUCGUCCAGUUCCAACCCCCUGCUAUGUGCAGGGUCACCAACUGACGGACCAGGCUGCCCAGAGCCUUGUCUUGAAUAAGAUUGUUUUUAGGCGAACAAAAACUUUGGAUCACCUUUCAAAUAC
rnacentral:lncRNA from 1 species